CUUGACCGAGCCCAGCAGCAACGGGGUGGUCCGGUCCUGGCCGUAGGUGGCCAGCAGCGCCUGCGCCUC
rnacentral:antisense_RNA from 1 species